UGUUAGGGAAGUCAGCUGCCAGACUGAUUGGGGAUAAAAAGGAUAACCUGCGAGGGUUUCAAACAAGAGAAAAGAGGGAAAGGAGGGAGGGAGAGAAAGAGAGAUCCGAAGAACAGCAAAUGUGUUAAUCAUCUCUUCAUUCUAUGCUGAAAAUUUUGAACGAGGAGUGGCAUGGUCAAAGGAGGAGGAAAUUCCAUCUGGCUACAGCAUUAGCGGAAAGAACGUGGUGAGCUGCUCAAGGGGAAAAACAGCUUCAUGUUGAUGGAUCAGAAACUGUCAAGAAGAAAGGGACAAAGGGAUGGACAAGGCUUCUGAAGAGAGGGGCUUCUGAAUUUCUGACUUGGUUACGAAGGAUUCUCUUUCCCAAGAUUGUGUACUACAUCAGAAAAUUGUGAAGAAUUUGGUGAGAGAGAGAAAGAAGAGAAGAAUUUUGGGACAUUGACAAACCUACUCUCACGGGGGGACUCAUCAUCUAUACAGAAAAAGAGAGACAGUCUGUGAAAUUUCUGGUUACUUUGAACUCUCGCAGAAAUCUCCUCAACUCAGCAAGACCAUAGGGCUUGAUUUGAGCUCCCUGCUCUGUGUGUGUGUGUGUGUGUGUGUGUGUGUGUGUGUAUGUGUGAUAGCCCAGAAAACACCUCCAGCUAAAAGUCAGUGCAGUUGUGGAGACUGCCUCAUUUGUUUACUUUGUCUUAGAGAAUCACAAUCCUACAUAGCAUAUUUUCCAGCAUUUGAAACAUUGAUUAUAUAUAUUUCAUCUUUAUAACUCUUUACAAUGGAGGACUAGUUUGAAAUUGGUUUCUGUAACAUGGUCAAAAGCAGAAGUCUUUUCCUAUUUGUUUGGGGCCUAGCUUUUGUGUUGGAGUUGGACUCAAGAAUGAGUCUCGGAAGAGCUCACUGGGGCUCCGUGUCCACAGGAAGUUUGGUGGAAUGUGGAUUUCACUGUCACUCACGUGGCUGAGGCCCAGCUAAGUGGACCAGUUCAGUCUCUUUACAGAAAAUUAUUGAAUCUUUAGGAUAUGAAGAUUGGCUGCCGAGCUCUCACUUUUUGGGGAGAACGUUAAAGGGAGGGAGCUGGGGGGUUGCUAUUCAAUAUGCUUUCUUUUAUUUACUCCCUGAUUUUCAGUCCAUUGUCCCUGCUUCACCCUGUGCCUGGUGUCCCUGGGUUGAGUCUCUCUGUUUCUAUUUCUCCAGUAAGUACCCCCCACAACUACUACUGCUGAGUGGGAGUGUAAUCAUCUGGCUACUUUGGCGUAGAGGAGAUGUCCUGUUGACUUUACCAUCAGAACGUAUCUAGAAACUAAUGAUAUUCCAACAUUUCCAUUGCUAUCACUCCAGUCCUAGCCACCGUGAUGGUUCAUGUUAUGUGUUAACUUGGUUGGGUUAUGGUGCCCAGUUGUUUGAACAAACAAAAGUGUAGAUGUUGCUGUGAAGGUAUUGUUUAUAUGUGGUUAACAUUUAGAUCAGUUAUCUUUGAGGAAAGCAAAUUACCCUCUAUAAUAUGCAUGGGCUUCACUCAGUCAGGUGAAGACCUUCAGAGCAAAGGACUGAAGUUUCCCACAAAGCAGCAAUUCUGCCUCAAGAUUGUAAUGGAGAAACCCUGCCUGAGUAUCCCUGCCCUGCAAAGUUUGGAUUCAGAACUGUACCAUCAACUCUCAUCUGAAUUUCCAGCCUGCCAACUUGACCUAUGGAUUUUGGACUCUCAGACACUACACUCAUGAAGUUUCAUUUGCCUUUCCUGUGAACUGAUGAAACAAAUGCAGUGAAACUCACUUCUAAGACUUCUGAAGAGCCACGUCUGAUGUGUUUGGUACUGACCCCAAUGAUGGAUUCGAUACACAUGUCCAUGUGAGUAUGCAUACGUAUUUGUGAAAUCAUGUGAGUUUUGAAAACAAUAAGGACUCCAGUAAAAUGUCCAAAGUCUCUGAUGACAGCUAAAAAAUAGCAUAUUUGUCGGGGAACAUCACUGAGAAGACAUGACCUCCAGGCGACCUGUGAGCUGAAUCCCAGCGCUCUGAGACUCCUCACCCACUCUCCUGUCCUUGGAUUGUGGGGUCCGCUUGUCUUUCCCACUUCCAGAGGCUGAUCCAAGGACACAGCCUUGAGAAGCAUUGUGAAUAAUGUCAUCCCACCUACUUCUGGCCUCCACAGUUUCUGAUGAGAGAAACAGCUGUUGCUAGGUGACAAUUCAAUUGCUUGCUAACUACUUGAGGAAAAGGCCACGACAAUAUUUUACGUGAAUUUAUACUUCUACACCCUAAAAUGAAGACGCGAACAAUUAUAAUUGUGCUUAGGAGGAGACUGUGUUUCACUUGUUCUUCUUCCCCUUUUCCUGCCAACUCAGGCAGUCUGGGACAUGGGAGGCAGUGAUGGAAGGAGUCACAUGGAUUGACAUGAGUGAAGCCUCAACGAUAAGAAGUGUUCUCUGUGUAGCAGUUCAAGAGAGAAUUCAGAAUCCCACAUCCUUACAUUUAUUGUGUAUCUUAGUUCAGCAAAGUAGAGGACAGGCCCUCACUUGACCCCUAGUAACCAAUGGCAUCUGUCUAUGAAAUGUUGGCCAAAUUAGAGGGACAGAGGGAAGUCAACUAAAUCGUGGAAGAGGCAUCUCUCAAUCAAAUUGAAAGCCCCCAGCAAGGUUUACUGAAGGUCAGCUGUGUUUAGAGCUGUGUAAUGGGAUGGAAGAAACAAAAGUAUUGCUGACUUCAUUUUUAAAAACUUGUUUGGAACACAAAGACCAUUUUCUAUAGAUUUCUUGUACAUAACAAAAACAACUUAUUUGGUCCAUAAAUCGCCUGAAAUAAAGUGUCUAGACAAAGAGUACUAGAAGCUCAACCUAUCACAGAUAACACGUGGGAGCAUUUUUUUUUUAACAGAAGUGGAAUUCUGUCCCCCCAAGCAUAAUGGUGACUCCAAUGUCCUGAGAAAAGGAAUCUAGGAGGAUAAGGAUCAGGGAUGCACCCCCAGAGGAUCAAAGGGUAAGAAGUUGUACAAAAAGCUAAGAACAUGGCUUGUCCUAGGCAACUAUCUAGACAGAGCAUUCCUUUUCUUAUAACUUUCCAUGAUGGACUUGGCUUCCUCCCUUCCUGCUGGCAAUUAUAGCAGAGAGAACUAUAGCAAGAUCAGAGAACUGACUUUGGGGCCAGACUGAGUUUUCAUCCUGUUGCUUAAUAUCUGUAUAAUUUGGGGCAAGUUUCUUAGUCCUUCUGUGCCUCAGUUUCUACAUCUAUAAAAUAGUAAUAAUAACACCCACUUUAUUAGAUUAUUGUGGUGAUUGAGUCAUACCUAGAAAAUGCUUAUUACAUUGUUUGGCGUAUUUUUGGCACUUCCCAUCUUGUCACCUCAAUCAAUACCAAAAACAAAUGUUUAAUUCUCUUUCUUUUUUUUAAGACAUGGUAGAUAAAAACAAAGUCAUACAUGGAUUAUUUAUUUUUUACAUGAAUUUUUUUAAAGACAAAUUUUUACUAUACUCUUAGUGGUAAGGAGAUGAGGCUUGAGCUAGAGUCCUGGCAUAUUUGAUACAGCAAAUCAGAUUUGAGUCGAGCAUAGGGUCAGGAGAAUGAAGUAGAAUAGAUGGGGUGGAGCUGGGGGUCAUUACUAGAAAUAGAGAACCAACAGCAGAGGUGCAGGAUAAGGAAAAAAGAAAUGAGGGCUUUGAUUUUCCAUUCCCUUAUCCUCACCACCACCUGAAUGGUCAGCAUAUCUUCCUUGGGGCAGUGUUGGGGUGAGGCGAGAAAGAGGAACCCAGGUGGUAGGUUCCAAGGCAAAGUAAGUGAGGGGUGACAUGGAGGCAUAAAACGCCUUGUACUUAAAAGAAAAUGGAAUUAAAAGGGUGAGAAGGAAGCAACAUUCAGAGCCCAAGGAGUUUUAAGAGUAGUUGUAGUGAUGAGCAGAGAAGACAAUCCUAUGGCUAUCUGCCAUUCAAGUGGCCUUUUAUUCAUAAGAGUCAUGACCACCUGGAUUAUAACAUGUUGAAACUUGCUAUUCCUAAAAUAAUAUCUUGCAGAGGAAGUCAUAAUAUAAAAUGAAUUACAUGAUAAACUUUGAGACAAGAGAGAUUUGUAAUAUGAACCAAGAUGUUUAAAGAAUAUUCCAUGGAGUGGUGGUGUUUAAACUAGGUUAUAAUAAAAGAAUUCUAUAUGUGUGAACCAGACUCACAAGGUAGGGUUUUCAUGUUAUAUUUAGGAAGACCGAGAAACAUUGAGUGAAAUUCAGAAUGAUCAGGGUGACAUUGAAGAGAUCCUUGAACACCAAGAUGAAGGUUUCAAAAGACAACUCUGCACAAUAGAAAGUUGCUAAAGUAUGAAGAAAUCAUAAAUGCACUGCCUCAAGGACAUAACUCAUUGUCAUGGAAAGGCUAGGCCAGAAGAAGGAGAUGCUAGAAAUCUGUGCUAUGACAGAGCAAUCGGGAAGCUAAUAAUAUAAUACUACCUAUAGAAAUGGAGAAAGUGGGUCUAUCCAAGAAGUUGGAGAAAUGUAGAAAUGAAGUUAGUUAACUUUGAACUGAGACAAUGAAGGACUAUAGUUGCAGUAUUAGGCUAUGGAGUCAGAAUGAUGAAGGUUCAGUCCCCUAAGCAGGCUGCUCACCUGUCCAGUGUGUUUGGGAAAUUAUGUAAACCUCUCUAAGUAGUUUCUUUGUCUAUAAAAUGAGGAUGAGAACAUGUGCCUCACAGUUCUGUGUAUGUUAAAAUACUACUUUUAAAUAAUUCACUAUUGUCUCUGAUCGUAAUAAACUAUUCAAAGAUA